rnacentral:rRNA from 1 species
UGGGGAAUAUUGCACAAUGGAGGGAACUCUGAUGCAGCAACGCCGCGUGAGGGAUGACGGCCUUCGGGUUGUAAACCGCUUUCAGCCAUGACGAAGCUUUUGUGACGGUAGUGGUAGAAGAAGCACCGGCUAACUACGUGCCAGCAGCCGCGGUGAUACGUAGGGUGCGAGCGUUGUCCGGAAUUAUUGGGCGUAAAGAGCUUGUAGGCGGUUUGUCGCGUCGAAAGUGUAAACUCAGUGCUUAACGCUGAGCCUGCUUUCGAUACGGGCUGACUAGAGGAGGGUAGGGGAGAAUGGAAUUCCCGGUGGAGCGGUGGAAUGCGCAGAUAUCGGGAGGAACACCAGUGGCGAAGGCGGUUCUCUGGACCUUUCCUGACGCUGAGAAGCGAAAGCGUGGGUAGCAAACAGG